ACGAUGAUCUAGUUUUGCCCUACAGCUCUUCAGUUCUGAUUUACCUCCUACUUCAUAUCUUCAGUCAUCCCUGGGACAAGGAAUCAGCAGUCCAAAAAGCUCUGGGAGAACAAAAUCAGGCUGCCAGUGACUGACCUGGAUUUGGUGGGACUCCCUCAACCAACCCAAACUCCUGGGAAACAGCAGAAGAUGCUUGGAAAUGGGGACACAGACCAGGAAUCUUUAGGAUGAAGGAUCCUGAUGACAUGGUGGUCCUGGAAAGAGGGCACGCAGUGCUUCCACGUGUUUAAAUAGACAUCCCUAAGCUGGAUGGAAGAACCUAAAACCUCUCAGGGCUGCCCCGAAGGAACCUGAAAUACAGACAACCUGGGACUUUGGUGACAGUGAUGGACUUUGAUUUCUUGAGCAGUACUGAAUCUGAAAUGCAGAUGGCAACUCAUUUAUUACUGUUGUAAGAUCCAACUGGGAGAGAAAUCUCAAUUCUGUUUUGGAUUCAUUCACCUUUUGGAUGCUGGAAAAGAAUGAGGAAUGAGAAUGGUGAAACUGUGACUGAUUGUAUGCCUUCCAAUAAAGAUGCAUUAUUGCACGGAGGCUGAAGGUCACAAGAAGUAAAAGGAAGAAGCAUCUAGGAAGCCGAUUUCAGAAACAUAAGGAGCUUACAAAAAGUUCUGUUGGGAUAGCAAGCUGAGAAGUUGAGAAGCGAAAAGUUAGCCAAACUGAUUUUGCGGAGAUACUGAUACACCCUUCUCCCUUCUUCUCAGUGGAGAGAAUGGAGGUGAGCAUCUCAACCUACGAUUAAAAUUCCCUUUUGUCUGUAAGUCCUUCCCUCACUGUGUAGAAGAAAUGUGCCUCGUGCUGGCAGCGGUUAGCCUGUUAAGGCAGCAGUGCUGUGUGCCAAAGUGCUUGGAAACGAUUGGGAUUCUGCUCCUGAUGGUGGUCACUGCAGGACCCAGCAGUCUCUUGACUACACAACAGGCAAGGUCAUGCCCUUGCACCAUUGAGGACUAAUAAAAUCCAAGACUGACAUUUUUCUCUGUUUGCCUUGUCCUUUUGGACUGUGAAUUCUUUGGGAAAGCAGCUCACAAUUAUACAUUUCUGCAGCCUGGAGCAAUGCAGUCCUUGACUCAGCAUGAACAGACAGCAAGCUCAGUGCUGCCCAGCUCUUUCCUCUGAUGGUGUAAAAGGUGUGUGGGAGCCUAUAUGCCGUAUUUCUGCACCUUUUUUUUUGUUCAGUUGAGUCUUCUCAUUUUGUCCUUUUUGUUUAGAAACACUGUGCUCUGUCUCUUCCACUCGUAUGCCAUCAGGAAAAGACAAGUGUUUCUCUUCUGCUGUAAUGAAAUCACUUGAAAAUAAAAUACUGUU